rnacentral:rRNA from 1 species
UACGGGGGGGGCAAGCGUUGUUCGGAAUCAUUGGGCGUAAAGCGCGCGUAGGCGCCUGGUAAGUCCGCUGUGAAAGUCAAAGGCUCAACCUUUGAAUGUCAGCGGAUACUGCCAGGCUAGAGUCCGGAAGAGGCGAGUGGAAUUCCUGGUGUAGCGGUGAAAUGCGCAGAUAUCAGGAGGAACACCGGUGGCGAAGGCGGGUCUCUGGGCCGUAACUGACGCUGAGGAGCGAAAGCAUGGGGAGCGAACAGG